AACAGUACAACUACAAAUUCCCUUGCUUCUUUGUAAGGGAACCAAUCAACUAACUUAAUGAGAUUGAUGCACGAGAGCUUCUAGAUGUUCUUCUCGAUCUUGAAUAUUCAUUUUCUCCAACUAUGCAAGAUUUGCUUGUGUAUAAGUUUGAUAAGGCCAGGGGCAAGAACAAAGUGGUUGAUUCAUUGAAUGAAGUAUGCGUUAUGUACAGUCCUCCAGAAUUCAGAAAUUGAUCUAUAAUUCUGUGAAGAGAAGGUUUUCAAACCCAAAGGAGCAUUGGCAACCUUAGGGACUUGGGCGCCAACGUGUAGUCCCUGCAGAAGUUGCUCACCCGGAAGGUGGUCUUCUCCAAGGCCUCCCUAGCCUUUGAACAAGACCGCUCCAUCAAGGGUAAACCAUUGAGUGACAAUGAUACAUGUGUGUCCAUUGCAACUUAGAGGUUCAUAGUGAUUAGCAGCAUGAGGUGCUGAGCACAUCGCGUGUGUGUCUGUAUGUGUGCGCUGAUAUGUGGUUCAUGAGGAACAAACUGAUUAAGCAUGCUCCAAAGCUACGAGCGACUGAACUAGGUUGAAACCAAGAGGGCAUUGUAAACUUUGAUGACACUUUGUGGGAAACCAAUUACUUCAUGACCAG